rnacentral:tRNA from 1 species
GGAGGAAUACUCAAGUGGCUGAAGAGUUCGGUCUUGAAAACCGAUAGGUCGUGAAAGCGGCGCGGGGGUUCGAAUCCCUCUUCCUCCUCCA